rnacentral:rRNA from 1 species
AGAGUUUGAUCAUGGCUCAGAACGAACGCUGGCGGCAUGCCUAACACAUGCAAGUCGAACGAACUCUUCGGAGUUAGUGGCGCACGGGUGCGUAACGCGUGGGAAUCUACCCUUGGGUACGGAAUAACUCAGAGAAAUUUGUGCUAAUACCGUAUAAUGUCUUCGGACCAAAGAUUUAUCGCCCAAGGAUGAGCCCGCGUAAGAUUAGCUAGUUGGUGGGGUAAAAGCCUACCAAGGCGACGAUCUUUAGCUGGUCUGAGAGGAUGAUCAGCCACACUGGGACUGAGACACGGCCCAGACUCCUACGGGAGGCAGCAGUGGGGAAUAUUGGACAAUGGGCGAAAGCCUGAUCCAGCAAUGCCGCGUGAGUGAUGAAGGCCUUAGGGUUGUAAAGCUCUUUUACCCGGGAUGAUAAUGACAGUACCGGGAGAAUAAGCUCCGGCUAACUCCGUGCCAGCAGCCGCGGUAAUACGGAGGGAGCUAGCGUUGUUCGGAAUUACUGGGCGUAGAGCGCGCGUAGGCGGUCUUUUAAGUCAGAGGUGAAAGCCCGGGGCUCAACCCCGGAAUAGCCUUUGAAACUGGAAGACUUGAAUCUUGGAGAGGUCAGUGGAAUUCCGAGUGUAGAGGUGAAAUUCGU